AGUACCGUGAGGGAAAGGUGAAAAGAACCCCGGGAGGGGAGUGAAAUAGAAUCUGAAACCAAUUGCUUACAAUCAGUGGGAGGGUUGAUUUCUUCGGAAAUCCGCCUGACCGCGUGCCUUUUGCAGUAUGAUCCAGCGAGUUACUCUUUGUGGCAAGGUUAAGCCAUUCUGUGGCGAAGCCAUAGCGAAAGCGAGUCUGAAUAGGGCGUGUCACUUUGUGACUUAGUCGCAUGGAGUAGACCCGAAGCCGAGUGAGCUAUCCAUGGCCAGGUUGAAGUUGGGGUAACACCCAAUGAAGGACCGAACCGGUAGAUGUUGAAAAAUCUUCGGAUGAGCUGUGGAUAGGAGUGAAAGGCUAAACAAACUCGGAGAUAGCUGGUUCUCCCCGAAAUAGCUCUUGGGCUAGCCUUAUCUGUUUAGUACUGGGGGUAGAGCACUGGAUGAGCUAGGGCCUCCAAAAAGGUACCAACCUCAACCAAACUCCGAAUACCAGUACUUUAGAGGAUAGGAGUCAGCGAGUGGGGACUAACCUCCAUUCACGAGAGGGGAACAACCCAGACCAUCAGCUAAGGUCCCUAAAUCGAAGCUAAGUGGUUAAGGAAGUGGAUUUACUAAAACAGCCAGGAUGUUGGCUUAGAAGCAGCCAUUCAUUCAAAGAGUGCGUAACAGCUCACUGGUCGAGUGAAUCUGCGCCCAAAAUAACUCGGGGCUUAAGCUUCGUACCGAAGCUGUGGGAUUGUACUUUUAGUAUGAUCGGUAGGGGAGCAUUCUGUACCGGUUGAAGCUUUAUUGUAAGAUAAGGUGGACGAUACAGAAGAGAGAAUGCUGGAAUGAGUAGCGAAAAAGCAGGAGAGUAACCUGCUCACCGAAAAUCUAAGGUUUCCUGGGGAAGGUUAAUCCGCCCAGGGUUAGACGGCCCCUAAGGCGAGGCCGAAAGGCGUAGUCGAUGGGAAGUGGGCUAAUAUUCCCACGCCACUAUGACACGAUCAAGACUUACUGUGGGGGUGCAGAAGGGUAGACCAGUCGGGUGAUGGAAAUCCCGAUCCGCAUUUAUUAAAGGAAUGCGGCGAGGCCUUAGGCCGCAAAGUGGUUGACCCCAUACUGACAAGAAAAGCCAUAGUAAGGGUGUUAUGGUGACCGUACCGUAAACGGACACACGUAGAUGAGGAGAGUAUCCUAAGGUGCUCGAGAGAACUCUGGUUAAGGAACUCGGCAAAUUUACCCCGUAAGUUCGCAAUAAGGGGUGCCUGGAAAGGUGAUAGCGCUUGCCGCUGGAGCUUUUCUAGGCCGCAGAGAAAUGGCCCAGGCGACUGUUUAACAAAAACACAGGUCUCUGCUAACUCGUAAGAGGACGUAUAGGGACUGACACCUGCCCGGUGCCGGAAGGUUAAG
rnacentral:ncRNA from 1 species